AGACGGCAAGGGAUGUGUAGCUUUUUCAAUCCUGGCCAUAACAUUCUCCUUCAUGCGCUUCUCAAUGUCCUUUCUCCUUUCAUUAGGUAAAAUGGAGAUGAUCCCCAGGGCCAUCUUGGAAGCAGUUUUUGAAGUUGGUAGAGUCUCGGGCCCACUUAACUGCCGAAAGACUAGGAAGGGGUCCAUUUCAUGAGCACGUUCAACCAAAGAGCGCUGUUAGGUUUCCUGCACCACAAGGUUCCUUUCACUUAAAAAAAAAUUUCUUUAUGUCACACCAUCUUUAUUUGUACCUUACAGUCUAAGGCUAUCAAUCAAACUUCAGUAAGAACAGUUUCAGCAUCAACUAAUGAACAGUAGCUAAACCAGAGAGCAGUCAAAAGUGUUUUAAAGGGAGCAGCAUCAGCUGAUGUUCUGCCAAGUCUCUGGGUGUUCAGGACCACGGUCCCCCGGCACUUCCAGGCCCCUGUGGGCUGCAGGUGGAGCCCCAGGAGCCAAAGGGCCGCUCAGGAAAGGGUGGAACUUGGCCUCGCAGUCAGCUGGCUUCUGCCUAUUUUGGUCAUCUUCUUUCCAGAGGUCUUGCUAUCUCAGUGGACGUG
rnacentral:lncRNA from 1 species